CCGUAACGCGUUGCAAAAAGCCAAACGCGCAGCAAAUACCGUAACGCGUUGCAAAAAGCCAAACGCGCAGCAAGAAGCCAAACGCGCAGCAAGAAGCCAAACGCGCAGCAAGAAGAGGCCACAACACAACGGAAGUGUUUCCAGGGGACACCUAAAAGUGAUAGACACGCCCGGAAGGUGUUGCUGCUGCAGGUAUUUGGAGUUUCUAAAGCCGGUGUCCGUCUACUACGUGAGAGUUAACUAAACUAUAAAAAUGUUUUGCCCUUUUUGUGGCUUAUUAUUGGACUCAAUCCAGAGCCCAAGAUAUUGCUGCUCCUGUGGGCGAGAUGUUAGUUUCAUCCACGCUUCUACAGCAUCAACAAGUGCAGUGACUGUUGCUGGUACCAGUCAACAAAAGGCAUGUGCUAACCAGUUCAUGAGGUACAGGGCACAGAAAGAAAACGAGAGAAAGACGUUUUCUAAAGGCCCAAAGAAAGCACCAAUAGCAGUCAAGAUUUCGGUUGGGGUAAUGAACCAGACAAAACAUGGCCUCAAGCCGGUAAGAGGGAAAACACUUCCCCUAAAUGUGGAACCUCAGUUGACGGCGGAGCAACUUUUGGCGGUUGCC